GUGGCAACGGGUGAGUAUAAUGUGGGAAUCUGCCUUUUGGUUUGGAAUAACACGGGGAAACUUGUGCUAAUACCGAAUAAGCCCUUACGGGGAAAGUUUUAACGCCGAAAGAUGACCCGCACUUGAUUACGCUAGUUGCGUAAGCUAAACGCUCACCAAGGCACCGAUCACUCGCUGUUCUUAGAGGAAGACCACCCACACCGGGACUGAGACACGGCCCACACUCCUACGGGAGGCAGCAGUGGGGAAUCUUGCACAAUGGGGGAAACCCUGAUGCAGCGAUGCCGCGUGAGUGAAGAACGCCCUUGGGUUGUAAAACUCUUUCGUCGGGGAAGAAAAUGACUGUACCCGAAUACGAAGGUCCGGCUAACUUCGUGCCAGCAGCCGCGGUAAUACGAAGGGACCUAGCGUAGUUCGGAAUUACUGGGCUUACAGAGCUCGUAGGUGGUUAAACCAGUUGAUGGUGAAAUCCCAAGGCUCAACCUUGGAACUGCCAUCAAAACUUUCUAGCUACGAGUGUGAUAGAGGUAAGUGGAAUUACUACUGUAGAGGUGAAAUUCGAAGAUAUUAGAAAGAACACCAAAUGCGAACGCCCCUUACUGGCUCACUACUGACACUGAGGAGCGAAAGGCAUGGGUAGCGAAGAGGUUACAUACCUCGGAAUCCUGCCGUAACGAUGUGUGCUAACGUUGCAAAU
rnacentral:rRNA from 1 species